rnacentral:rRNA from 1 species
GACGAACGCUGGCGGCGUGCUUAACACAUGCAAGUCGAACGGAAAGGCCCUGCUUUUGUGGGUUGCUCGAGUGGCGAACGGGUGAGUAACACGUGAGUAACCUGCCCUUGACUUUGGGAUAACUUCAGGAAACUGGGGCUAAUACCGGAUAGGAGCUCCUGCUGCAUGGUGGGGGUUGGAAAGUUUCGGCGGUUGGGGAUGGACUCGCGGCUUAUCAGCUUGUUGGUGGGGUAGUGGCUUACCAAGGCUUUGACGGAUAGCCGGCCUGAGAGGGUGACCGGCCACAAUGGGACUGAGAUACGGCCCAGACUCCUACGGGAGGCAGCGGUGGGGAAUAUUGCAGAAUGGGCGGAAGCCUGAUGCAGAAACGCCGCGUGCGGGAUAACGGCCUUCGGGUUGUAAACCGCUUUCGCCUGUGACGAAGCGUGAGUGACGGUAAUGGGUAAAGAAGCACCGGCUAACUACGUG